CUUUCCUGAUUUUGUACAAAGAGGCCUCGGAAGGUAUCUGCUGCUAUCAGGAAUGCUACUUCUGUUCUUCCUUAGUUACCCAAAUAUGGAUUUCUGUGUUUUAAACCCUCAGUGGGCGCUUUAUCAUAACUAGGAGACUGAUAGAAGAGUUUCCUGCAAGUCCCUUCUUUCUCUCUGCAAUCCGGGAGCCAGACAGCCUCCAUCCCCUAGGAAUUAGCUGCAGCCCCCACUUGAACCCUGCCCCCCUUUCCCCCACGCUGCAGGAAAUGGACGCCUUGCUCCCCCGCCUCGCCUGAGCAGUGGUACAGCCUACCCACCUCUCGCGAGAGCAGUGCGGCGGCCUGUCCCUCUCUCGCGAGAACAGCGGUGCGGCCUGCGCCCCCCGCCGUAGGGUGGUACAUCCCGAGCCUUUAUAAGCGGCGGUAGUAGUUCUUUCCGCCCUUUCUCCUCGUGCGCCUGGUGGUGGUUGGUUGUUUUGUGGAAGGCGCUCGGCAGGGCUGAAGUGAGGGCUCCUACCCGCGGGCAGCAGUGAUGUACGCCGUGCCUCCUCCCCCCCCAAGGCGAGGCCCGAUCACUCGAGGCGGCAGUUCAGAGAGAUGAAGGAGUACGGGCCUCGCUCCUCCCCGGAGGCCCUCAUGGAGGCGGAUGGCGGCCCAGGGCCCCACGCAGUCCGUCCUGAGAGUCUUCUUAUUGUACCAAAUGUACUUCUGUGAUUUUCUAGAACUACUGCUGAGGAGUACUCCCUUAAUGCUUGUUUGGUGUCUGUUCCCCCAGCAGAACGAUGCCUUGAAGCAAAGAAACCUGGGAUUUCCAGGUGAUGUGAUACAAUAAGGAUGGGAGCAGGUAUCUUUGGAGAUGGCCAUAAUGUGAAGCCCUUCACACGGCCCUGGGACAGAAGUGAGACUGCAAGAGCAAGAGGUUGUUCUGGGUGUUGAUGCUGAAAGCACGUUUGAGGAAGAAGGAACCCAAUGGAACAUGAGGGAGCUGAUCUUUGAAAACACCACCUGUAUUUCUGUGCAUGGACCUUUAAGAUAAAACAACGUUCAUACAGUUUUGAUCACACAUUAAAGUUCUAAAAAAAAAA